rnacentral:lncRNA from 1 species
GUUGGCCCGGGUGACUUUUAAAAUGUAGAUAUCAUUGAAAAAGCUCCAAAUUAUCUCCCUUUGGUGCAAACAUGCCAUUUUUGGCAUUAAAAUUGAAAUAUCUUUUUUAACUCAUCAGUGACCUAUAUUUUUUAUUGUUGUUUUCGAAUAAGCUGUACAUAAACUAAAUAAUUGUAAAAUUUAAGCGAUUUCUGUAAUGAAGUUCUUCUUUUAUUUAUAUAUUACUGCUAUUUCUCCUAUUAUUUCAACAGAAAAAAAGGACAUUAACAAAAAUGUAUGCUUCUUUCGAAGGCAGAUUGUGAGCGUAAAUGAACGUUGACCCCAUUUUUUUUAUUUCAUUUUUCUAUAAGUAUAAGAUAAAGUUCGUUUAUAGAAAAAUAUAGCGAAAUCCUAUAUUAAAUUAAAAAAAU